GACGAACGCUGGCGGCGUGCUUAACACAUGCAAGUCGAACGGAAGGGCCCUGCUUUUGUGGGGUGCUCGAGUGGCGAACGGGUGAGUAACACGUGAGUAACCUGUCCUUGACUUUGGGAUAACUUCAGGAAACUGGGGCUAAUACCGGAUAGGAGCUCCUGCUGCAUGGUGGGGGUUGGAAAGUUUCGGCGGUUGGGGAUGGACUCGCGGCUUAUCAGCUUGUUGGUGGGGUAGUGGCUUACCAAGGCUUUGACGGGUAGCCGGCCUGAGAGGGUGACCGGCCACAUUGGGACUGAGAUACGGCCCAGACUCCUACGGGAGGCAGCAGUGGGGAAUAUUGCACAAUGGGCGGAAGCCUGAUGCAGCAACGCCGCGUGCGGGAUGACGGCCUUCGGGUUGUAAACCGCUUUCGCCUGUGACGAAGCGUGAGUGACGGUAAUGGGUAAAGAAGCACCGGCUAACUACGUG
rnacentral:rRNA from 1 species